UACGUAGGGGUCGAGCGUUGUCCGGACUUACUGGCGUAAAGCGUGCGCAGGCGGUUCGCUAAGACCGAUGUGAAAUCCCCGGGCUUAACCUGGGAACUGCAUUGGUGACUGGCGGGCUAGAGUAUGGCAGAGGGGGGUAGAAUUCCACGUGUAGCAGUGAAAUGCGUAGAGAUGUGGAGGAAUACCGAUGGCGAAGGCAGCCCCCUGGGCCAAUACUGACGCUCAUGCACGAAAGCGUGGGGAGCAAACAGG
rnacentral:rRNA from 1 species